rnacentral:lncRNA from 1 species
CGGCGUGCACUGUCGGUCGGCGGCUAAGGAGGGGAGGCACCUGCAUCUGGGGCGCGGCGAAUCCUCGCGUGCGCCAGGCCGCCUGGGGUAGUCGCCGAGACUGCGCCGGCCAGCGGGGCCGAAACCUAAUCAGGAGCUGAGCUUUGAUGGCGGCUUCUGGAGGGACAAAGAAGGCGCAGAGCGGUGGGAGGAGGCUGCGAGAACCUAGCUCCCGCCCCAGCCGACGUGCGAGACAAAGGCCCCGGCGCGGGGCUCUUCGGAAGGCCGGGAGGUUCCUGUGACAAUGCGAGUCUGCGCCCCACGCUCCCGCACCGUGAUGCCGAGGCCAAAUGGCUAGAGUGGGCCCAGGCAUCAGCAUUUCUGUUUGGCAGCCGGGCAGUUGUGGUGCACGUUUUGAGGAACUACUAAAGCCUGCCUGUGAUGAAAAAGGCAAAAGCUGACUUCACCAAAAUUACUCCCAGGGAGACUUCUGCAUUUGGCUGGAAGGACAUUUGAGUAAACCGCUGAGGCUGGUGGUUGAAACAUAAUCCUCUAAGGGAGAUCGGUUCCGAUACCCUGAGUUAGGGACGCUUGCCUGGGCAGAGCUAAGGGGAGAAUGAUCAAAAGCCAAGCUCUGUCCCCGUCAGCACGUCACCCUCCCUCACUGUAAUCCCUGACUGUUUUCUCUAAAUGAAGAAUUAUUUAGAGAAUAUAAAUUAGAAGGGCCGCCACGUCAGAAUUGCCUGAGUGGGAGCAGUCUUUCCAGCCUCGAAAAAUGUUUAAACAAUAUGCAGAUGACCUAGCACAAAUAAAGAAUGCUAGCAACCGCUGUUAUGUGUGAGCGGUGGAAUUGGGAGGGCUCUUCCCCCAAUCUUCAUCAAACAGAGAACUCAACUGUUAGGCAGAAGGGAGGAAUGUACUGUUGAUAUGGACAGACUCCAAGAAGGGGAGGGACUGCUGGGACUACUAGAACGAGAAUGCCUCUGCCCCUAUGGCUCAGCUCUGCAACUCUCUCUGCACAUUGGCUUCAUGCUGUUAGACCAGCUUCCUCCAUAUGUCUGGAAACAAGGCCACUGACAGCUCCCAACAUUUCAUCUUCUGCCUCAUCAUCAGACAGGCGAGUGCAGUGGCAUAAUCUCGGCUCACUGCAACCUUUGCCUCCUGGGUUCAAGCAAAAACUGGAAUGAUGCAGCUUCAGGCCAAGGAAUGCUGGCAGCCACCAGAAGCUGAAGGACACAAGGAAUGGAUUCUCAGAGCCUCGGCAGGAAAUGUGGCCCUGCCAACACCUUGAUUUCAGACUUCUCAACUCCAGUACUGGGAGGGAAUAAAUUUCUGUUGUUUUAAGCCUCCCAGUUUGUGAUAAUUUGCUACAGCAGCCACAGGAAGCAAAUAAGGAGGGCCUAUUUGGAGGAGGAUGCAAACCCAGCAGUGGGUGAUGAACUAUUCUUACUUACAGCUACCUUAUUCAUUACUAGUCUAGACUUAAGCAUUGACUUCAUCACUGAAAAGGCUGCAGCUGAGCCUAGAGUUUCAGGUUCCUGUGCUGCAUAUGGCUACAGUGAUUCUUAGGUCAGCUCCCUAGGAUGCAGUUGAGUCUCUCUCUAACUGAUGAGUCUCUUUAAAUAUACAGUUGGGGCUGGGUGCGGUGGCUCACACCUCUAAUCCUAGCACUUUUGGAGGUU